AUGCCAGGAUCACAAGCCGACGAGAUUGACUGGGAGAAUUUAUCGAACAAGGAGCUUCAUGAUAAGUUUCAGCAAAUGAUGACUGAACAGGUGCAAGAUGUGCUGAACAAUUUUGAAGAGGCCAUGGAGAAGAUCACUGGCCUUGAGAAGACGUUCGAAACAAAGCUCGAUAACAGAUUUAAUGAAUUGCUCGCGCGUCUUCCACCACCACCACCCGCUUCACCUAACGCACCUCUCCAACAACAACAACAACGACUACCUCCACGUCGCGAAAUAGACCUUCGCCGAGCGAGCCGUGUUCCUCUUGCGUUUGGCCAAACUGUUGGUGCUGCUGUUGAUACUUCUGUGGCUCCUGCUACUGCUGUUGCUGGUACCCAGGAGGAUGAUGAGUAUGCGGGCGAUUAUGAGGAUGAGGUUGAUCAAAAUCAGAUCUACGAGCAGCCACCAGCACCACCACCAGCAGGUCGACCUCAGGUAUAUAUUCGUAAUGGUAGGCCUGCACCACCACCUCAGGUACGCGAUGAUGUCCAUAUUCCUAAACUGAAAUUGAAUAUUCCACCAUUUGAGGGUAGAUAUGUUCCUGAUAUAUAUCUUACUUGGGAGUUAGAAAACUGA
rnacentral:rRNA from 1 species